ACCAUUAAAGUUUUGAAAAAUAGAGGCUUUUCAAGCCUCAGACCUAGGUUAAACCCCUAGAAAUGGUA
rnacentral:tRNA from 1 species